UAGGGAAUCUUCGGCAAUGGACGGAAGUCUGACCGAGCAACGCCGCGUGAGUGAAGAAGGUUUUCGGAUCGUAAAGCUCUGUUGUUAGAGAAGAACGUUGGUAGGAGUGGAAAAUCUACCAAGUGACGGUAACUAACCAGAAAGGGACGGCUAACUACGUGCCAGCAGCCGCGGUAAUACGUAGGUCCCGAGCGUUGUCCGGAUUUAUUGGGCGUAAAGCGAGCGCAGGCGGUUCUUUAAGUCUGAAGUUAAAGGCAGUGGCUUAACCAUUGUACGCUUUGGAAACUGGAGGACUUGAGUGCAGAAGGGGAGAGGUGAAUUCCUUGUGUAGCGGUGAAAUGCGUAGCUAUUAGGAGGAACACCGGUGGCGAACGCGACUCUCUGGUCUGUAGCUGACGCUGAGGCUCGAAAGCGUGGGGAGCAAACAGG
rnacentral:rRNA from 1 species